rnacentral:rRNA from 1 species
GAGUUUGAUCCUGGCUCAGGAUGAACGCUAGCGGCAGGCUUAACACAUGCAAGUCGAGGGGUAACAGAGAAAAGCUUGCUUUUUUGCUGACGACCGGCGCACGGGUGCGUAACGCGUAUGCAAUCUACCUUUUGCUAAGGGAUAGCCCAGAGAAAUUUGGAUUAAUACCUUAUAGUAUGAUGACUUGGCAUCAAGAUAUCAUUAAAGGUUACGGCAAAAGAUGAGCAUGCGUUCUAUUAGCUAGUUGGUGUGGUAACGGCAUACCAAGGCAACGAUAGAUAGGGGUCCUGAGAGGGAGAUCCCCCACACUGGUACUGAGACACGGACCAGACUCCUACGGGAGGCAGCAGUGAGGAAUAUUGGACAAUGGAGGCAACUCUGAUCCAGCCAUGCCGCGUGCAGGAAGACUGCCCUAUGGGUUGUAAACUGCUUUUAUACAGGAAGAAACACCUCUACGUGUAGAGAUUUGACGGUACUGUAAGAAUAAGGAUCGGCUAACUCCGUGCCAGCAGCCGCGGUAAUACGGAGGAUCCAAGCGUUAUCCGGAAUCAUUGGGUUUAAAGGGUCCGUAGGUGGAUAAUUAAGUCAGAGGUGAAAUCCUGCAGCUUAACUGUAGAAUUGCCUUUGAUACUGGUUGUCUUGAGUUGUUAUGAAGUGGUUAGAAUAUGUAGUGUAGCGGUGAAAUGCAUAGAUAUUACAUAGAAUACCAAUUGCGAAGGCAGAUCACUAAUAAUAUACUGACACUGAUGGACGAAAGCGUGGGGAGCGAACAGGAUUAGAUACCCUGGUAGUCCACGCCGUAAACGAUGGUCACUAGCUGUACGGGUUUCGAUCUGAGUGGCUAAGCGAAAGUGAUAAGUGACCCACCUGGGGAGUACGUUCGCAAGAAUGAAACUCAAAGGAAUUGACGGGGGCCCGCACAAGCGGUGGAGCAUGUGGUUUAAUUCGAUGAUACGCGAGGAACCUUACCAGGGCUUAAAUGUGGUUUGACAGCUUUAGAGAUAGAGUUUUCUUCGGACAAAUCACAAGGUGCUGCAUGGUUGUCGUCAGCUCGUGCCGUGAGGUGUCAGGUUAAGUCCUAUAACGAGCGCA